UGUCUUCGCUGAUUGGUGAGACUUCGAGCAGUAGUUAGGAUGCUGCGUGGAAGCCGAAGCUGCACUUCCCAGGUGACUCCUCCGGCCAGCCGAAGCUGCACUUCCCAGGUGACUCCUCUGGCCAGCCAGGCCCCUCAGAUGAGGGCUGCUCCCCUAAGAGCACCUGCAGCUCAGCCUCCAGCAGCAGCUGCACCAUCUGCAGUUGGCUCACCUGCCGCUGCGCCCCAGAUGGCCCAGAUGGCUACCACCGCAGCCGGUGUGGCUGUGGGCUCUGCAGUGGGGCACACCCUGGGUCACACCAUCACUGGAGGCUUCAGCGGAGGUGGUAGUGCUGAGCCCGCAAAGCCCGACAUCACUUACCAGGAGCCUCAGGGAGCCCAGCUGCAGAACCAGCAGUCUUUUGGACCUUGCUCUCUAGAGAUCAAGCAGUUUCUGGAGUGUGCUCAGAACCAGAGCGAUGUCAAGCUCUGUGAGGGCUUCAAAGAGGUGCUGCGGCAGUGCAGGAUUGCAAAUGGUUUAAUCUAAUCAAGAAAUUCAAGCUGAAGAGAUGUAACAUUGGUUCUGUAUAAUUGAUAGUACAAGUGUGGACCCUUAUAUUUCUAACAGUUCCGUUGCUUUAGAAUGGCCAU
rnacentral:lncRNA from 1 species